GAUGAACGCUGGCGGCGUGCCUAAUACAUGCAAGUCGAGCGAACAGACGAGGAUCUUGCUCCUCUGACGUUAGCGGCGGACGGGUGAGUAACACGUGGAUAACCUACCUAUAAGACUGGGAUAACUUCGGGAAACCGGAGCUAAUACCGGAUAAUAUAUUGAACCCCAUGGUUCAAUAGUGAAAGACGGUUUUGCUGUCACUUAUAGAUGGAUCCGCGCCGCAUUAGCUAGUUGGUAAGGUAACGGCGUACCAAGGCGACGAUGCGUAGCCGACCUGAGAGGAUGAUCGGCCACACUGGAACUGAGACACGGUCCAGACUCCUACGGGAGGCAGCAGUAGGGAAUCUUCCGCAAUGGGCGAAAGCCUGACGGAGCAACGCCGCGUGAGUGAUGAAGGUCUUCGGAUCGUAAAACUCUGUUAUUAGGGAAGAACAAAUGUGUAAGUAACUAUGCACGUCUUGACGGUACCUAAUCAGAAAGCCACGGCUAACUACGUG
rnacentral:rRNA from 1 species